rnacentral:rRNA from 1 species
GACGAACGCUGGCGGCGUGCUUAACACAUACAGGUCGAACGGUAAGGCCCUUCGGGGUACACGAGUGGCGAACGGGUGAGUAACACGUGGGUGAUCUGCCCUGCACUUCGGGAUAAGCCUGGGAAACUGGGUCUAAUACCGGAUAGGACCACUGCCUGCAUGGGUGGUGGUGGAAAGCUUUUGCGGUGUGGGAUGGGCCCGCGGCCUAUCAGCUUGUGGGUGGGGUGCUGGCCUACCAAGGCGACGACGGGUAGCCGGCCUGGGAGGGUGACCGGCCACACUGGGACUGAGAUACGGCCCAGACUCCUACGGGAGGCAGCAGUGGGGAAUAUUGCACAAUGGGCGCAAGCCUGACGCAGCGACGCCGCGUGAGGGAUGAUGGCCUUCGGGUUGUAAACCUCUUUCAGCACCGACGAAGCGCAAGUGACGGUAGGUGCAGAAGAAGGACCGGCCAACUACGUGCCAGCCGCCGCAGUAA